CCUACGGGGGGCAGCAGUGAGGAAUAUUGGUCAAUGGACGAGAGUCUGAACCAGCCAAGUCGCGUGAAGGAUGACUGCCCUAUGGGUUGUAAACUUCUUUUAUAUGGGAAUAAAACGCUCCACGUGUGGGAUUUUGUAUGUACCAUAUGAAUAAGCAUCGGCUAACUCCGUGCCAGCAGCCGCGGUAAUACGGAGGAUCCGAGCGUUAUCCGGAUUUAUUGGGUUUAAAGGGUGCGUAGGUGGAUUGUUAAGUCAGUUGUGAAAGUUUGCGGCUCAACCCUAAAAUUGCCGUUGAAACUGGUAGUCUUGAGUACAGGAGAGGUGGGCGGAAUUCGUGGUGUAGCGGUGAAAUGCUUAGAUAUCACGAAGAACUCCGAUUGCGAAGGCAGUUCACUGGACUGCAACUGACGCUGAGGCUCGAAAGUGUGGGUAUCAAACAGGAUUAGAUACCCGUGUAGUC
rnacentral:rRNA from 1 species